rnacentral:rRNA from 1 species
UGGGGAAUAUUGCACAAUGGACGGAAGUCUGAUGCAGCAACGCCGCGUGGAGGAUGACACAUUUCGGUGCGUAAACUCCUUUUAUAUGAGAAGAUACUGACGGUACCAUAUGAAUAAGCACCGGCCACCUCCGUGCCAGCAGCCGCGGUAAUACGGAGGGUGCAAGCGUUACUCGGAAUCACUGGGCGUAAAGAGCGUGUAGGCGGGUUGAUAAGUGUGAAGUGAAAUCCUAUAGCUUAACUAUAGAACUGCUUUGAAAACUGUUAACCUAGAAUAUGGGAGAGGUAGAUGGAAUUUCUGGUGUAGGGGUAAAAUCCGUAGAGAUCAGAAGGAAUACCGAUUGCGAAGGCGAUCUACUGGAACAUUAUUGACGCUGAGACGCGAAAGCGUGGGUAGCAAACA